GACGAACGCUGGCGGCGUGCUUAACACAUGCAAGUCGAACGAAGUGGCGAACGGGUGAGUAACGCGUAGUCAACCUGCCCUUCAGAGGGGGACAACAGUUGGAAACGACUGCUAAUACCGCAUACUGAAGGAGGGGAUUGCGGCGGAUUAGCUAGCUGGAGGGGUAACGGCCCACCAAGGCGAUGAGAAGUAACCGGUUUGGGAGGAUGAACGGCCACAUUGGGACUGGAGAACGGCCCAAACUCCUACGGGAGGCAGCAGGGGGGAAUCUUCCGCAAAGGAGGAAAGGCUGACGGAGCAACGCCGCGUGAGUGAUGACGGCCUUCGGGUUGUAAAGCUCUGUUAAUCGGGACGCGGUACCGGAAUAGAAAGCCACGGCUAACUACGUGCCAGCAGCCGCGGUAAUAC
rnacentral:rRNA from 1 species